rnacentral:rRNA from 1 species
UGUUAAUUAAAUUAUUAUUUUUAUUAUAAAAUUAUUUUAUCUAUAUUGUUGAUUUUUAUUAUAGUUGACUAUUACCGUGAGGGAAAUUUGAAAUAUAUUGAAAAUAUUAGCUUUAGUAAGAAUGUUUAUUUUACAGUACCUUGUGUAUCAGGGCUUAUUAAUUAAUUUUUAAUGAUUUAGUUUUCCCGAAUUUAAAAGAGCUAUAAGGUUAUAUAUUUUAUUGUUUUAUAAAUAUUUUUAAUUAUCUUAUUGAAAUGAAAUGUUAUUCGAUUUUAAAUAUAUCUGGUUUUUUGAGAAGAAAUUCAAUUUCAUUACUUUCUUUUUUUUUUAAUUUUAAAUUUUUGAGGGAAGUAUUAUAUAUAUUAUGGGAUAAGCUUUAAUAUUUAUUUCUAAAAAUUUUAUUUGUGAUUAAUUUUGUAGGAUUAAGAAUUUCUUUCAAUUUAAGUAUGUUAUAAUUUUAUUGAUUUUUAUAUUAUUUAUAUUUUUUUUAGGUUUUUUAUCAAAAUUUAUUUUUAAAUUUAUUAAUUUAUUAAUAAUGAUAGGAUUAGUAUAUUUAAUUUUAUUUAGUACUAAAUAUUUUAGAUGUAAUAAAGGAAUUCGGCACUAAUUUUCUGCCUGUUUAUUAAAAACAUGUCUUUUUGAUAAUUUUAGAAAGUCUAAUCUGCCCAAUGAUAUUUUAAAUGGCCGCGAUAUUUUGAUCGUGCGAAGGUAGCAUAAUCAUUAGUUUUUUAAUUGAAAGCUGGAAUGAAGGAUUGAACAAGAAAAUUUCUGUCUCUAUUUAUAUUUUUAGAAUUUUAUUUUUAAGUCAGAAAGCUUAAAUAAUAUUAAAAGACGAGAAGACCCUAUAGAGUUUAACUUUUUAAUAAAAUUAUUAUUUUUGUUUUAUAAUUUUUAAUUUUAAAUAAAGGUUUAGUUGGGGUGACGUAAAAAUUUAGUAAACUUUUUUUUUAAUAAAAUAUUUUUUGAUAGAUGGAUGAUUUACUUUUGUAAUUAUAAGAUAAAAUUACCUUAGGGAUAACAGCGUUAUUUUUUUUAGAGUUCUUAUCGAAAAUAAAAAUUGCGACCUCGAUGUUGGAUUAAAAUUUAUUUGUGGUGGAGAAGCUACAGAAUUUAGUCUGUUCGACUAUUAAAAUUUUACAUGAUCUGAGUUUAGACCGGCGUGAGCCAGGUCGGUUUCUAUCUUUAAUGUGUUAUGAUAUUUUAGUACGAAAGGACCAAAUAUUUUUUAAAUUAAUUUUAUUUAUUGACUAAUAUUAAUA